rnacentral:rRNA from 1 species
UGGGAACGUACCCUUCAGUUCGGAACAACCCAGGGAAACUUGGGCUAAUACCGAAUACGUCCGUAAGGAGAAAGAUUUAUCGCUGAAGGAUCGGCCCGCGUCUGAUUAGCUAGUUGGUGAGGUAACGGCUCACCAAGGCGACGAUCAGUAGCUGGUCUGAGAGGAUGAUCAGCCUCACUGGGACAGAGACGCGGCCUAGACUCCGUACGGGAGGCAG